rnacentral:rRNA from 1 species
UACGUAGGGGGCAAGCGUUGUCCGGAAUCAUUGGGCGUAAAGCGCGUGUAGGCGGCUUCGUCAGUCCGUUGUGAAAGUCCAGGGCUCAACCCUGGAAUGCCGAUGGAUACUGCGGAGCUAGAGUCCGGAAGAGGCGAGUGGAAUUCCUGGUGUAGCGGUGAAAUGCGCAGAUAUCAGGAGGAACACCUGAGGCGAAGGCGGGCUACUGGGCCGAUACUGACGCUGAGGCGCGAAAGCCAGGGGAGCAAACGGG